rnacentral:rRNA from 1 species
AAUCCACCUGGGGAGUACGUUGGCAACAAUGAAACUCAAAGGAAUUGACGGGGGCCCGCACAAGCGGAGGAACAUGUGGUUUAAUUCGAUGAUACGCGAGGAACCUUACCUGGACUUAAAUGUAGAUUGCAUGAAGCAGAGAUGCUUCUUUCUUCGGACUAUUUACAAGGUGCUGCAUGGUUGUCGUCAGCUCGUGCCGUGAGGUGUCGGGUUAAGUCCCAUAACGAGCGCAACCCCUGUUGUUAGUUACCAGCACGUAGUGGUGGGGACUCUAACAAGACUGCCGGUGUAAACCGUGAGGAAGGUGGGGAUGACGUCAAAUCAGCACGGCCCUUACGUCCAGGGCUACACACGUGUUACAAUGGCAGGUACAAAGGGCAGCUACACAGCAAUGUGAUGCUAAUCUCAAAAGCCUGUCUCAGUUCGGAUUGGAGUCUGCAACUCGACUCCAUGAAGCUGGAUUCGCUAGUAAUCGCGCAUCAGCCAUGGCGCGGUGAAUACGUUCCCGGGCCUUGUACACACCGCCCGUCAAACCAUGGAAGCCGGGGGUACCUGAAGUCUGUUACCGUAAGGAGCGGCCUAGGGUAAAACUGGUAACUAGGGUUAAGUCGUAACAAGGUAGCCG